UGCCCGAUGGUGUAACGGUAGCACAGCAGAUUCUGAAUCUGCUUGUCGUGGUUCAAAUCCAUGUCGGGCAGCCA
rnacentral:tRNA from 1 species